rnacentral:tRNA from 1 species
GCCUGGGUGGCUCAGUCGGUUGAGCAUCUGACUUCGGCUCAGGUCACGAUCUCACGGUUCGUGAGUUCGAGCCCCGCGUCGGGCU